rnacentral:rRNA from 1 species
AACGAACGCUGGCGGCGCGCCUAAUACAUGCAAGUCGAGCGAGAAGACGUAGCAAUACGUUUGUAAAGCGGCGAACGGGUGAGGAAUACAUGGGUAACCUACCCUCGAGUGGGGAAUAACUAGCCGAAGGUUAGCUAAUACCGCGUACGCUUCUUGGACUUCGGUUCAGGGAGGAAAGCGAUGCCGAGGGGUAUCGCGCUCUUGGAUGGGCUCAUGUCCUAUCAGCUUGUUGGUGAGGUAACGGCUCACCAAGGCUUCGACGGGUAGCUGGUCUGAGAGGACGAUCAGCCACACUGGCACUGCGACACGGGGCCAGACUCCUACGGGAGGCAGCAG